rnacentral:rRNA from 1 species
UACGUAGGGCGCAAGCGUUGUCCGGAAUCAUUGGGCGUAAAGAGCUCGUAGGCGGCCUGUUGCGUCCGCUGUGAAAUCCCGGGGCUUAACCCCGGGCGUGCAGUGGAUACGGGCAGGCUGGAGGCAGGCAGGGGAGAACGGAAUUCCCGGUGUAGCGGUGAAAUGCGCAGAUAUCAGGAGGAACACCGGUGGCGAAGGCGGUUCUCUGGGCAUUACCUGACGCUGAGGAGCGAAAAGCGUGGGGGAGCGAACAGG